UGCUAAUGAUGGCUGUAGGCUGGGCUUAAGGUUGUCAACUUUUGCUUUCCAAAAGGAGUAAGGCAAAGCUAGACAACCAUAAUUGAGUCUGGUAAGUCAAAGUCUAGCCCAGAGCAGAACCAGGUAUCUUGGGGUUGUAAGGUCAGGGUGGAGCUAGGGUAGAAUUUUUCAGGUUAUGGCAUACCCUUCAAUAUUUCACAGGCUUUGGAUUGUACCUAACAUAAUGCUGUAAGGUGAAUGUUGUGUCAACACAAGAAUUUCUCCUGGUACAAUGGAACGUUCUCCCAAUCUCCUCCUCCCAUGCACCCCUUAAAUCAAUUGGGGGGGGGUUCCACCAACAUCUGAGAGCAGUUAUAGGGAUGGCACAGGGCAUGCACAGGGGAGGAGAUGGAGAAACUCUCCUUGCACUAGCACUAAUCCUUGCAUCAGCACAAGUAUUUAGAUGAUGACAGCCCAACGGACUUUACAUAUCCUUGAAGCACCCCAAUUCUCAUAUCCUGGGAUGGUCCACUUACAAUCACACAGUUUCAUAUUACUGAGAGCCCCACCCCCAGCCAACCUACUUUACACUGCAUUUGUUUUAAAGCUAGAAGCAUGUUUCUUCUUUUUAUUAAAUACCUCCUAGGAAACCACAUUGUCUUGCAACAGGCUAGCUGCUGUUCAAAAUAUACCUCUAGAACUGCCAGUUGUGAAAAGACCGGCUGUGCACUGCAAGGUGCCUUAGCAUUCACACCUACGUGCUCUAGAGACGAAAUACUUCCCACUGCAAGAUGAAACGUCUACAGGCUCUUGGAAAGAAGAGCUGAACCCUGAAGAACAACCAUUCCAGCAACAAGCUUUUUUUCUGACAAGGUGCAAAAACAGGCACAGUGAUUUGCCAGGUACCUAGCAUCUCCUGUUGGAAAACAAGUAUCGUAACAUCUCCAGGUAGAGAAAACCCCUUUCUGAAGUCUCUGUCAGUAUUGACACCAAUAAGCUUGACGGCCGAUGCUCUGAUAUCGAAUAAGGCCACUUCCUACGUUCCUUUAUUGAUAACUCUACCAGGAGCCAGUGGCUGGAAUACUUCCUCCAGACCCCUAAAAAUGAAGGCAAUAUGCUAGUAUUUUACUUCUGCUAGCCGCAUGAACUGCCAGUGUCCCACCAAGAAAUCCCACUGACAGUGGAGAAUCACAUAUUGAACUAAGAAAGGGCAGCCAAGAUGAGGCGAAGGAACAUUUUGUGUGCACAGUAAUGCUCUGG